rnacentral:lncRNA from 1 species
CUUAAGUUAAAAUCAUCCACCCCAAACUAUAUGAUUUAUGGUGAACUUGGCAUUUUUCCUGUUCAACUAGAUAUCAAACUAAAAAUGAUUGCAUUUUGGACACGACUAUUAUCUGGAAAGGAUUCAAAACUGUCUUAUUUAUCUUAUCAAUUAUUAUACAAAUUGUCGGUCGACAAUCAUUUUGAAUCGCCAUGGUUAAAGUUUUUAAGAAACGUGUUUGAUGAUACUGGCUUUUCCUAUAUUUGGACAACUCAGCUUUUUCCUAGCUCAGAUUGGCUUAUCCCUUCGAUAAAGAUGCGCCUACAUGAUCAAUUUAGACAGGAAUGGCAUUCACUUAUGUUAAAUUCACCAAAAUCUAUAAAUUAUAGAUUAUUUAAGGAGACAUUUCAGUUUGAAUGUUUUUUUAAAUAUAUUGGAAGAUAAAGAUAUCUAUACGCUGUGCAGGUUUAGAACCACAAAUCAUAGACUUCCUAUAGAAACAGGACGGUGGAAUGGUAUAGAAAGGGAAAAUAGAAAAUGUUUGAAAUGUAAUAAUAACUGUAUUGGUGACGAAUAUCAUUAUAUUCUGGAAUGUAAAUUAUUUGAAAAUAACAGAAAAAAACUAAUUGAUAAAAAUUUGUGGCAAAGGCCAAAUAUUUUGAAAUUCAAAGAAAUAAUGAGUUGUACUAACAAGUUUAAAUUAGAAAAACUAUGUAGAUUUAUACGCCAAAUAAAUAAAUCAUUUGUUCUCU